rnacentral:rRNA from 1 species
UACGAAGGGGGCUAGCGUUACUCGGAAUUACUGGGCGUAAAGCGUGCGUAGGUGGUGAGUUAAGUCUGUCGUGAAAGCCCCGGGCUCAACCUGGGAAUGGCGAUGGAUACUGGCUCGCUAGAGUGCGGUAGAGGAGAGUGGAAUUCCCGGUGUAGCAGUGAAAUGCGUAGAGAUCGGGAGGAACAUCAGUUGCGAAGGCGGCUCUCUGGACCAGCACUGACACUGAGGCACGAAAGCGUGGGGAGCAAACAGG